rnacentral:tRNA from 1 species
GCUGAUGUGGCUCAGUGGUAGAGCAGCGCAUUCGUAAUGCGCCGGUCGCCGGUUCGAAUCCGGCCAUCAGCUCCA